rnacentral:lncRNA from 1 species
UUCAUCUUUUAUUGAUUAAUUUAGUGACCAUUUGGGCAGGUUUCAUCGAUAUUCCAACAUAAUAAUUAUUAAAUAUUGACGGGGAACUUUAUAAGAAUUGCCAUUAUUGGUACUCAUUGACAAAAUACAGGGGAAAAUUCAAAUUAAUACUCUUUAGGUUUGCAUCAUGUGUAUGACACAACAAUCUUUUUGUAUCUAAAUCUUAAAGAGUAGUAUCUUGAUUCUUAAGGUUUUUCUUUUUGGAUUCAUAAGUUUUCUCUACCCCGAUCAAAUCAUACAUUAAUCUCAUUUGUGAUAGUGUUACUGUCGUUUGAUUA